AUUGAACGCUGGCGGCCGGCCUAACACAUGCAAGUCGAACGAGUGGCGGACGGGUGAGUAAUGUCUGGGAAACUGCCCGAUGGAGGGGGAUAACUACUGGAAACGGUCGCUAAUACCGCAUACCAUCGGAUGUUCCCAGAGAGGAUUAGCUAGUAGGUGGGGUAACGGCGCACCUAGGCGACGAUCCCUAGCGGGUCUGAGAGGAGGACAAGCCACACUGGAACUGAGAGACGUUCCAGACUCCUACGGGAGGAAGCAGUGGGGAAGAUUGCACAAUGGGAGCAAGCCUGUUGCAGCCAUGCCGCGUGUAUGAAGAAGGCCUUCGGGUUGUAAAGUACUUUCAGCGAGGAGGCGUUACGCGCAGAAGAAGCACCGGCUAACUCCGUGCCAGCAGCGGCGGUAAUAC
rnacentral:rRNA from 1 species